GGGGGCAUAGCUCAGUUGGGAGAGCAGCAGACUGAAGUAUCUUAGCAAUCUUAUGGCUUCUGAAGGUCCCGCGUUCAAUCCGCGGUGCCCCCA